UCAGCGGCAAACACUUCCAGGAUGGCAGUGCCCUGCCCUGAGGAAGCAGUGAGACCCCCGACCAUCCUGAGUCUGCAGAGUGGCCCCCAGAAGUCCCGUGACCCAAGGCAGCCCCAGCACGCAGCCCCCCAGGCGGCUGCUGACUGGGCCCAAUCUCCACUUCUGCUGACAGCCCUGAGUUCGGCCGCGACAAACACACAGGGGCAGAGCAGGCGGGGCUGGGUGUGCGGGCCAGGGCCCCGGGACGAGGUUGGUGUCCAGGACAUGACAGGUGGCCCUUUUCCGGUCCUAAUGUCCCAAUCCUCAUGGUCUCUCCCCGGGGGUCAGAGCACCCUGAGAACUCAGCUCGGGAGGGAGCCAGGGGUCCCCAGCCUGGGCUCAGUGGUACGGCAGAGGGGUACCAACCUGCAGGUGGGGGCUGCCCCGAUGCGCCGGGCUGCACAGCGGAGACAGGCUGUCUGCCCAGCCCUAAGCCAGCUCUGGGCCCUUGGCCCGUCUUUGGAGUCCAGGAGCUUAGGACGGUGUGUCCUCGGGCCGCUUCCUGGCAGGCAGGCGGUGGGUCACCUUUGAACAUCGUUACCAGACAGUGUUAGAGUCAAGCCAAGAAAUCCAGCACUGUCCGGUAAGAUGCCCACAGAGGCCCAGGUGCGCCUCGGCCCGAGGACAGGGACAGACACCUGGUGCCCACCCGUGGGCAGGCAGGGUCCAGGUGGGAAGGGGUGAGGAUCCCCGGGCAGGGAGGCCCGAGGGCUCCUCCCUGCUUUCUCCGGAGCGAGGAGACCUGGGGCUCGAGACCCAGGACCAAGGCUGGAGAUGUUGCCAGUCUGCAAGGUGGCCCGCCUGCCCUGGGGCUGUCUCGGGGCCACCCCGAGGCCCAGGCUGGGCCUUUGCCCUCCAGAGCCCUUUGUUGUGGCCCGCUCAGCCCACACCUGCCGGGUGUGGUGGCAGCACCUGCUGGGGUGUUGUGGGUAGGGCCUGAUACCUGAGCGUCCUAAUCCAGGAUCCCUGGGGGGGGGGGGGCUCAGUGCAGCUGCAGGACACCUUUCACUCUGGGGGGCCGAGAAGGGGCACUCAGACAUGCCUGGGUCCAGGGGAGGGGUCACCUUUCUGCCCCACAGGCCCACCUGGCAGGAGGGGACAGAGGAACUCUGGGUGGGUGGGCCGACUCAGGGUGUCUGUCGGGGAGCCGGGGCCUGCGUGGGGCCUGCGUGGGGAAAGGGAGGGGCCUGGGGCUGGGGGAGGGCGGCCCCAUCGCUGCGUGCAGGGCCCCGCCGUCAUCAUUACCAGGCAGUAUUAGAGACCUGACACCAUCCAAUGCUGCCCAGUAAGAUGGCGAUGGCUGCCCCCAACUGGGUCUGGGGGCCGCCCCACGGGGGGGUGUGGUCAGCAGCCUGAGGCAGAACCAUGUUCGUCCUCUUAGGGCAUGGAGGGGGGAAGGGGACCCAGAGGGGUGGGGGCUCAGGAGAGUCCCCGGGAGUCCUGAGGCCAUAGUGCUGGUAAGACACAGGGGAGCCUGGGGGGGGGGGGCGGCGCUGGGCCGCAGCACCUGGAAACCCCUAAAGGCCAGGACCACAGGGUGACCUCCUGCCCGGCCAGCCCUGCCCAGCUCGGCGGGGCCAUCGACUCUGGACGUGGCCCCAAGGAGGGACAGGGUGUCCUGCCUGCCGGAGGCAAGGACAGAGUGGUCCCAGGGAAAGGUCUGGACAUCGGGCCCUGCCCCCUCAGGGUCCGGGUGAAGGUGAGUGCGUCUCAAACCCGAAGGGCUGCUGAAGCUGGACAAUGAGCCUCUGUCUCCCAGACGCCGCCCCAAUGGCUGUCUCCAGCCCGGCCCCCUGGUGCCCUUGUCAAGGGCGCGGGAGGGUGUUGGGACAAGGAUGGAGUGGGCCAUGGCUCUUGAGGCAGGACGGCACGGGGGACCCCUCCUCGGCCCCACCCCAGCAAGCAGGGCGGGAAUUCCCCAAGGCCCAGGCCCUCCGCCUCGCUCACCGGCCAGGUCACAGGUGGGUCUGUCUGCCCGCCCCACUGCUCCGUGGCCCUGGGCUUCUGGCUGCUGCCGGCCGUGAGGUCCGAGGCUGAGACAGCGCUGGGCCUGGAGGAGGGACCGAGGGGGUAGCCCCGCCCAGCCUGUGCCCAAGUACAGAACGCAGGAUGAGCACCCCCACCACCACCCCGUGCCCGUGCGUGCCAGGCCAGUCUUCAGAGUUCAGAGUGGGGUCGAGGAAGAGGACGGCUCUGUGUCCGCACCUGGGGCCCUGUGUGGAACUGAGAGAACCCUGGCCCCCUGCCCUGGGGAGUCUGAGGGGUCCCAUCCAACCUCUUGUCCCUUCUCUGUGACGGCUGACACCUGGACCUGGCGAGCGGGCCAGAGCAGCUCAAGUUUUCCGGCACCUUCCACCCACAGAGGCUGUAGAGACGGGGUGUGGGGCCCGUGCUGAUUCUCCCCAGGCCACCUGCCUGACCACAACAAAGCCUGUCCACCUGCCUAGCCAAGGUUCACCUCGUUCUCCAGAUUUGUCCUCAGGAACAGCCAGCAUUUCUCAGAGGACCUGACGGUGACACAGGCCCAGCGUUGGGGGGACAGGUGAGAAGCCUGUCCUCUGCAUGGGAAGGCGGCUUCACGGGAGCCUGGAGCCUCCGGGUGGCUGUGUCCAGGCUCAGAGGGUGGAGCCCACGGUCUGCCUCUUGCCCUGUGCCCCCGUCACCACCUGCCCCGCUCCGGAUCCACACCUCACCUUUCCAGGUCUGUCCCACAGACCCUGUAAAAUCAGUGUGCUUUAGGGAUGCAAUUCUACCUCUUUCUGAGCUAGGCGAAACUGUCUCAACUGUGCUUUCAGGGCUGAGUUAAAUUUCAGCUCUGCUCUCAGCUGCCAGGCUACAGGGGAAGGCGGUGGGGGCUGGGGGCCCGGUGUCCCUCCCUUGUAGCCAGCCCUCUGUGCACAGACCGGCCUCCCACUGUGUGGCCUCUGCAGCCAGAGCCCGGUGUCCCUAGUGUCCUUGGCCGAGGAGCACCCAAGGCCCCGGAGACCCCACGGGCCCAGAGCUGGCCUGGUGGCAAGCCAGGGGAACAGGCCACCCCAGCUGUCUGCCGCCCACCGGCUCAUCAGCCCUGACACUGUCACCUAGGAGGUGAAGAGGUGCACGGACACAGAGGUACAUGGACAGAGCCGGGGCAGGCCGGUGGGCAGCAGAGUGCCCCCUCCUAAGUUCCAGGACACAAUCCCACACUCUUCCUGAACUCAGAACCUGUAAAUCCACAAGGAGAGACCAGCACCUGGCCUUGGCCUCUGAGUGCAGCUCAGCGUGAGGUCAAGAUCCCCGACCCUCCUGCGCCCACCCUGUGCCCAUCCUGCCCCCCCCGGGGCAGUUCCUACGGGCAGAUACGAAAAGUGGAAAUAAACCUUCCCUGUUUCAGAGCGACUAAA